rnacentral:rRNA from 1 species
UUUAAGGUCUAGCCUGCCCAAUGAGGUUUUGAAUGGCCGCGGUAUUUUGACUGUGCAAAGGUAGCAUAAUAAUUAGUUUUUUAAUUGAAAGCUGGAAUGAAAGGUUGGACGAGAAAAUAGCUGUCUCAAUAUAAUUUAAUUUAGAAUUUUAUUUUUAAGUAAAAAAGCUUAAAUUUUUUUAAAAGACGAGAAGACCCUAUAGAGCUUUAUAUAUUAAAUUUUAUGGGUGUUUUAGUUAAUUUUAAAUUUUUAAUAUUUAAUAUAUUUUAUUGGGGUGAUAAAAAAAUUUAUAUAACUUUUUUUAUAUUUAUACAUUUAUAUAUGAAUAGUUGAUCCAUUUAUUAUGAUUAUAAGAUUAAGUUACCUUAGGGAUAACAGCGUAAUUUUUUUUUAGAGUUCUUAUCGAAAGAAGAGAUUGCGACCUCGAUGUUGGAUUAAAAUAAAUAUUUGGUGUAGGGGCUAAAUUAUUAGGUCUGUUCGACCUUUAAAAUUUUACA